AGGUGCAAUGGUACCAGCACUAAUACACUGGAUCUCAUCAAAACUCUGCAGUUGCUUGGACGAGAGUAGUAUUAAGAUGGGUGACCUCCCAGAAAAUCUUCGUGUUACAUUCC
rfam:Brassica rapa chromosome A9, whole genome shotgun sequence.